rnacentral:rRNA from 1 species
AUUGAACGCUAGCGGCAGGCCUAACACAUGCAAGUCGAACGAGUGGCGGACGGGUGAGUAAUAUCUGGGAAACUGCCUGGUGGAGGGGGAUAACUACUGGAAAGGGUGGCUAAUACCGCAUACCAUCAGAUGUGCCCAUAUGGGAUUAGCUAGUUGGGGGGGUAACGGCUCACCAAGGCAACGAUCCCUAGCUGGUCUGAGAGGAUGACCAGCCACACUGGAACUGAGACACGGUCCAGACUCCUACGGGAGGCAGCAGUGGGGGAUAUUGCACAAUGGGCGAAACCCUGAUCCAGCCAUCCCGCGUGUAUGAAGAAGGCCUUCGGGUUGUAAAGUACUUUCAGCGGGGAGGCGUUAUCCGCAGAAGAAGCACCGGCUAACUACGUGCCAGCAGCCGCGGUAAUAC